UAACAGUAUAACAACACAUUUUUGUUACUUGGGUAUCUCUCUACCAACAGGAUCCAUUUCCUGAAGCUGAUGAUGAUGUCACAUACAGCACUGUCAGCCUCCAGCACAAGACCCAACUAAAAGGACAGACCAAGUCAGCAGAACCAGAUGAUAAUGUGGUCUACAGCUCACUAGCUCUACAGGUGACCACACAGCAGAGGGCAGCAGCAGCACAGUAGUGACUGACAGAGAAGACCUUCCUUUUACUGGAAGGACAGAACACUCCCCUCUCCUGUGUCACAACAUCUGUCUGCCUCCAAUAUGAUUCUGUCAUACCUCUUAACCCAUCCCAGGAAGACACCUCUAUCCUUUAGUGUAAUAAACUACUGAAGGCAGUCUGCUGUGUUUGUUCUGAUUAUCAUCACAUUUCUGUUAUUAGUUAUGUUCCACCACCUUUCCCCUUGUCUCUUAUUUCUUACAUCAUGAUCUCAUUGAUCUAGUUUAAUGUCCUAUGCCUGUAACUAAUCAUGAUCAAACGUGUAUUAAGAUCUUAGUAUAGACAGCUACUAUGUAUAAUAACUACUGUACUGCAAUAAUAAAAUGUACUA